ACUUCCGUAUAGUAAGUUAAGAGUUCCCGUUUUCAUCUCGGCUUGCCUUCCAGUGUGGUUGGCAAAUUGAGUUGUAUUCCUCGGACUGUUGACACAUGGUGUGGAAAUGGGGGGUGGUUGUGGUGGUUGAUCCAUGAUAGGUGUGAAAGGUGGUGUGUGUGUUAUAGAAGAACCUUCUCCUUGUUCUUGUCGUUGUCUAGCUUGUUGCCUCAUUCGUCUC
rnacentral:lncRNA from 1 species